GUCUAGAGGCUUCGGCAAUGGGGGCAACCCUGACCGAGCGACGCCGCGUGUGGGAUUGAAGGCCUUCGGGUCGUAAACCACUGUCAUUGGGAAAGAAUACCGGAAUGGUGAAUUCCGGGGCGACGGUACCCAAGGAGGAAGCCCCGGCUAACUCCGUGCCAGCAGCCGCGGUAAUACGGAGGGGGCAAGCGUUGUUCGGAUUUACUGGGCGUAAAGGGUGUGUAGGCGGUUGCGUAAGUCUGGUGUGAAAUCUUCACCGCUUAACGGGAAGAGGUCACUGGAAACUGCGUAACUCGAGUAUGGUAGAGGCAAGCGGAAUUCCUGGUGUAGCGGUGGAAUGUGUAGAUAUCAGGAAGAACACCGGUGGCGAAGGCGGCUUGCUGGGCCAUCACUGACGCUGAGACACGAAAGCGUGGGGAGCAAACGGGAUUAGAAACCCCAGUAGUCC
rnacentral:rRNA from 1 species